AUACUCGGCGAUCGAGUAGAACAAGUUCGGUAGACCUCGCUCACGUCCGGAUGUGACGCACCGGUCACGCUCACAAGGGUUGACGCCAACUUGGCCGGAUAUUACGCACCGGAGAAGAAAGGGUCGUGAGGAACUGGAUUGAAUAAGGCACUCGGCUUUUUCAUUCAAUCAAUUCUCUGCCUUACAAUGAGGGUCUAAUGCCCUUUAUAUAGACAAAAACUAAUAAGGAAAUAUUCACAAGAAUGAUCCUAAACCUUUGGAUCUCUGUUUGACGGUUAGGAUGGCAAUCCGUGUGCUUGCAUUUGAUUGGACGAUCCUUGGAUGCACACGAGCCUUCGGAUUCGAUGGAUGGCUUGGAUCGUAGGCUAAGGGCAAUCCGUGUGCUUGUUUUUGAUUGGAUGUCCGGUGGUUUACACGGAUUUGCUCGGGCGAAUUUGGAGAAGAUCUUGGAUUGCCGUCGGGAAUCGGGGGAUCGCGCCGGAUAUCAAGGGAUUGCUCGGUAUGCUCCAUGGUGUGCUCCCGUUGCACAUCAAGGCCCACAGCGAUACUGACGUGCAAAUCGUUCGUCUGACUUGGGUAUAGGGGCGAAAGACUAAUCGAACCGUCUAGUAGCUGCUUCCCUCCGAAGUUUCCCUUAGGAUAGCUGGAGCCCAUGGGCAAGUUCUCUCGGGUAAAGCCAAUGAUUAGAGGCAUCAGGGGCACAACGCCCUCGACCUAUUCUCAAACUUUAAAUAGGUAGGACGGAGCAGCUACUUUGUUGAGCCGCUCUAAGUGGGCUAUUUUUUGUAAGCAGAACUAGCGAUGCGGGAUGAACCGAAAGCCGGGUUACGGUGCCCAACUGCACAAUAACCUAGAACCCACAAAGGGUGUUGGUCGAUUAAGACAGCAGAACGUUGGUCAUGGAAGUCGAAAUCCGCUAAGGAGUGUGUAACAACUCCCCUGCCGAAUCAGCUAGCCCCAAAAAUGGAUGGCGCUGAAGUGCGCAACCUAUAUCCGGCCGUCGGGGCAAGUAUGAGGCCAUGAUGAGUAGGAGGGCGCGGCAGUUGCCGCAAAACCUGGGCGCGAGCCCGGGCGGAGCGGCCGUUGGUGCAAAUCUUGGUGGUAGUAGCAAAUAUUCAAAUGAGAACUUUGAAGACCGAAGAGGGGAAAUGUUCCAUGUAAACAGCACUUGCACAUGGGUUAGUCGAUCCUAAGAGACAGGGCAAUCCUGUCUGAUAGCGCCCAGCACAGGAGCAUCGAAAGGGAAUCAGGUUAAAAUUCCUAAACUGGGACGUGGCGGUUGACGGCAAUGUUAGGGAGUCCGGAGACAUCGUCGGGGACCUUGGGAAGAGUUAUCUUUUCUGUUUAGCAGCUUGCCCACCGUGGAAACGACUCAGCCGGAGGUAGGGUCCUGCGGCUAGAAGAGCACCACACGUCGCGCGGUGUUUGUACGUCCUCGACGGCCCUUGAAAAUUCAGAGGACCGAGUGCCUCCCACACCCGGUCAUGGAACAAUGUAGGCAAGGGAAGUCAGCAAAAUGGAUCCGUAACCUCGGGAAAAGGAUUGGCUCUGAGGGCUGGGCAUGGCGGUCCCCGUCUCAAAUCCGUCGGUUGUCGAUGGACUGCUCGAGCUGCUCUCUUGGCGAGAGCUGGUCGUCGCGUGCCGGCCGGGGGAUGGACUGAGAACGGCUCCUUUGGGGACCUUCCCCAGGCAUCAAAAAAUUGACUCAGAACUGGAGUGAAGAAAUUCUGCCCAGUGCAAUGAAUCCGACUGUUUAAUUAAAACAAAGCAUUGCGAUGGUCCUUGCGGAUGCUGACGCAAUGUGAUUUCUGCCCAGUGCAAUGAAUGUCAAAGUGAAGAAAUUCAACAAAGCGCGGGUAAACGGCAGGAGUAACUAUGACUCUAUUAAGGUAGCCAAAUGCCUCGUCAUCUAAUUAGUGACGCACAUGAAUGGAUUAACGAGAUUCCCACUAACCUUGUCUACUAUCCAGCGAAACAACAGCCAAGGGAACGGGCUUGGCAGAAUCAACGGGGAAAGAAGACCUUGUUGAGCUUGACUGUAGUCCGACUCUGUGAAAUGACUUGAGAGGUGUAGGAUAAGUGGGAGCCAGAAACGGCAAAAGUGAAAUAACACUACUUUUAACGGAAGCGGGGCAACGCCCCUCUUUUUGGACCCAAGGCCCACCUUAACUGGUCGAUCCGCGCGGAAGACAUUGUUAGGUCAGGAGUUUGGCUGGGGCAGCACAUCUGUUAAAAGAUAACACAGGUGUCCUAAGAUGAGCUCAACGAGAACAUAAAUCUCGUGUGGAACAAAAGGGUAAAAGCUCGUUUGAUUCUGAUUUCCAGUACGAAUACAAACAGUGAAAGCAUGGCCUAUUAAUCUUUUAGAGUUUCAGAAUUUGAAGCUAGAGGUGUCAGAAAAGUUACCACAGGGAUAACUGGCUUGUGGCAGCCAAGCGUUCAUAGCGACGUUGUUUUUUGAUCCUUCGAUGUCGGCUCUUCCUAUCAUUGUGAAGCAGAAUUCACCAAGUGUUGGAUUGUUCACCCACCAAUAGGGAACAUGAGCUGGGUUUAGACAGUCGUGAGACGGGUUAGUUUUACUCUACUGAUGACAGCGUCGCAAUAGUAAUUCAACCUAGUAUGAGAGGAACCAUUGAUUCGCAUAAUUGGUCAUCGCGCUUGGUUAAAAAGCCAGUGGCACAAAGCUACCGUGCGUUGGAUUAUGACUGAACGCCCCUAAGUCAGAAUCUGGGCUAGAAGCGACGCACGCACCCGCCUCCCGAUCGCCGAUUAGUAGUAGGGGCCCUCGGCCCCCUAGGGCACGCGUCGUUGGACAAGCCCUCGUAACCGAGCCAUCGCGCGGGCCACCUUGAAGUGUUAUUUCAACCGAGC
rnacentral:rRNA from 1 species